CGCAAACGAAGCGUCUAAAAGAGAGGAAGACAAAUUGAGGUUCUUCAUUGAAAAGAAUGGUGGAUACACAUGUCAAACUGACCAUGCAAUAAGAAUACCUGGAACCGAAGUUAUGAAUAACAUUCACAAUUCAAUUAAUCGUUAUGACAGAAUAAUAAUUCUUAUAACAGAUCAAUCUGCUUCAAAAGGAUGGUUCACAUUUGCAGUUUUGUCUGCCUUAGAAAACAUAAUUGUGGAAAAUCACAUGAGACUUUUGGUCGCAUACAAAGGAAAUCGACGUGAAGAUGUUGGGUUUCUGAAACCGGAUUGCUGUCGUUGACGCCCAAGACGUUUGUCGACCUCACUGAAUGGCAGGGAUAUGAAAGGCUUCUUAAACAACUGAAAACUCCAGUGUGUUUGGACGAAGAAUUACCAGCGGGAAACUUGCAUCUUGGCUUGGUUCAUUCCCACAUAUCCGGUUACAUGUGCUAUGUUGCUGAAGAACAAUAAUUGGUUGGAGAAAUGCGAUGGUUACAGAAAAGAACAAAAAACUACUGAUUGGAAAUUUUCUGUUGGCUGUACCAAAAACCUGCGCUGUCCCACAGCAGCUUCCGUCAAAUUCGGCAUCAGGCAUUGCUAUUUCGAAUGUGGAUACAUUUGAGUUUAAGAGAAUACAUGCGGGUAAAAACACAGAGAUUAUGUUGUUACCAUCAACCAGAUAAAGCACGCGAACAACGAGUUGUACGUUUGUGCCCAGGUACCAACUACGAUAACUGCAAUAUCAAAUCUUGCAAAGCAGCACCUUGGGAAAAUAAAUGUCGCUCUCGAGCACCAGCGUUUCUGUCAAUCAUACCAGCAGAUAAUCGAUGCGAAAGGAUGGGGUGACUUCUUGGAAAUCGUUCCAUGUGAAGAUGAAAACGAUAUUCCUGUCACGUUGUUUAAGGCAGCGACGGCAAACAAUACCAAGAAGACUGGGGCAGAAACUUCUCUAAUAAGCUGGAGUUUUGUCCGAUUUUAAAAGGAUGAGUGUUUACAUAUCAUGUUUUGAUAUUGAUGGAGAUUCUUGUGAAGAGAUCGAAAAAGAGCUACAAAAACAUCAUAUGAACAUCAUACGACAUGAAAACACACCAGGAA